rnacentral:rRNA from 1 species
UACAGAGGUCCCAAGCGUUGUUCGGAUUUAUUGGGCGUAAAGGGUGCGUAGGCGGCGGAGUAAGUUGGGUGUGAAAUCCCGGGGCUCAACCUCGGAACUGCAUUCAAUACUGCUUCGCUUGAGUACUGGAGAGGAGACUGGAAUUUACGGUGUAGCAGUGAAAUGCGUAGAUAUCGUAAGGAAGGCCGGUGGCGAAAGCGAGUCUCUGGACAGUUACUGACGCUGAUGCACGAAGGCCAGGGGAGCAAACAGG